rnacentral:rRNA from 1 species
CCCUUAGAUGUUCUGGGCCGCACGCGCGCUACACUGACAGAGCCAGCGAGUUCUUUUUCCUUGGCUGAAAAGUCAUGGGUAAUCUUGUGAAACUCUGUCGUGCUGGGGAUAGAGCAUUGCAAUUAUUGCUCUUCAACGAGGAAUUCCUAGUAAGCGUAAGUCAUCAGCUUGCGUUGAUUACGUCCCUGCCCUUUGUACACACCGCCCGUCGCUACUACCGAUUGAACGAUCCGAUGAAAACUGUGGAUUGAGAGUCUGAGUGGGUUCGCCUACCUCAACUUUCGAGAAGCGGUUUAAAUCUUAUCGUUUAGAGGAAGGAGAAGUCGUAACA